rnacentral:miRNA from 8 species
CAGUGCAAUAAUGAAAGGGCGU